rnacentral:rRNA from 1 species
CGAACGGGUGAGUAAUGCGUGACCAACCUGCCCCAUGCUCCAGAAUAGCUCUUGGAAACGGGUGGUAAUGCUGGAUGCUCCAACUUGACGCAUGUCUUGUUGGGAAAGUGUUUAGUGGCAUGGGAUGGGGUCGCGUCCUAUCAGCUUGUAGGUGGGGUAAUGGCCCACCUAGGCUUCGACGGGUAGCCGGCCCGAGAGGGCGGACGGCCACAUUGGGACUGAGAUACGGCCCAGACUCCUACGGGAGGCAGCAGCG